UUUAGUGGAGAUCUUCUCCAGAGCAGGCUGGGACUAUCUUUAUUCUUAGUCUGCGUGGAGAAUCAUAGCCACUUGGAGAAGGUGACAUUUGGGAAGCCUCCUGGUGUUUGGGGGUAGUCAAUGACAGUGUAAUCCCUAUAGGCAACAUGGAGGGAGGAGAGCCAACGUGAUUGAAUCCUGGCUGCCGCCAGGGGGAGGCCUGACGCUGCCUCCUCUGCUCUCUGGCAGGCAUGUCAACUCUUGUCACAGCUGGAGUUGCUGGUGCAUUGGACAUAAGAAUGCAUGGCUGGGUGAGCCUCUAGGGAGAAGCAGCGAUGCUUGGAGGCUUAGCAAGGAGUGGGGAAGACAUAGCACUUUCCAGCUUGCUGCCUUCUGCUGGUGGAAGCCCAGGCUGAGGAAUCUGCGAGGCGGGUCUGAACAGAUUGUGUGCCCAGUUUGCUUUUCCACACCCACUGUCCACUGAUCUAAGACGGAAGAAAAGAAAACUCUCUGGAGGAGAAGUGGAAUCUGAGGAGAGAGAUGGGAGCAUGGGGGGCUUUUCUCCAGUCCAAGAUCCAAGAAGGCGUCGUAGAGGCAGCCCGCUCCUGGGGUAAAGAGCUCUGGGCAGCAGGUGUCUGUCAGAGCAGGCUCCUAUUAGAACACUCAGAAUUUCCGCAGUGCCUGUUGCCAUGGCAAACAGUCAUUCACAGAACCAAGCAGAUCAUUCCAGAAUCCCGCCCCUUGGUUUAGCCUGUGACCCAGCCCAGUGAAGAGGAAAAGCUAGAAGCUAAGUCUCUAACUCCAGUUUAAGCAGUCUGCCUCAUCUUCCGUGGAAGCCAGAGGUGGUGUAUUCCCUGGAAGCUGGAGUUAGAGACGGUGGUAAGUCAUCAAAUAUGGCUGGAAACCAAAUCCUGGUCCUCUACUUGAAGAGCUGAGCAUCUGUCUGGCCCAUAGUUGCUGUUUGAUUGUAAGUGUUUGUCCUGGACCUGAUCCUCCCCACAACCCCCAGCUCCUUUCCUCUCUCUUUUCUCCUGAUUCUCUAGCAGCAGCACUUUUACCCAGGGGACACAAGGCCUUCCCUUCUCUGCUCCUGUUAGCUCCUUUCUGACCUUAGUGAGGACUAAGACUUUGUCCAGCUAUUGAGCCACAACGUCCAGACUCUGAGGGACUAUGGUUAGAGAAAGGGAACAAGUUCAAGCUGAGAGACAGGCCAUAGUCAGACCAGCUACAGGGAGAGGUCCAAGUGCGUGACAGGAAGUCUCAGAAAGGCCACUCAAGUGACUACUAUCCGGGUCUACUAUUUGCAGCAGGGGCUCGGGAGUCCAGGAAGGGCUAGAAAACACAGGAUGCUGGGUAACAAACAGGAGCUAGGCCAAAUGCCUGUGGAAUGAUGACUGGAAUAGCAGGUGUGGAAACUGAAGCAAGAAUCUUGUUGUCCUUACUAGACCAACCCACACCCAGGCAAGGUUAUGCCUUUUAUGUUGACUUGGUCAUACAGCCAGACUGUGAGUAGCAGGACCUGUCCUUAGCCUCCGGGCUGGCAUCACCAUUGCUGUUGAGACACUGUCAGCAGGCACAGAGAGUGCUAGGACUGCCACAGGGAUCCGUACUUGGAUGGCAGGCGAGAAGAGGUGCAGAUUACACUUUCUGCCUGCUCCCAAACCCCAGCGGCAUAGAGAUUUUAACGGACAUCUUAGUGCUUCCAUCUCCCAGAGGGAGAGAAAGGCCUGACAACCUGGUUGCAGGGCUUUAAAGUGUCCAUAACUAACUAGUUGUAUGCUAUGAUGCCAAGGAAAGGCUAGGAGAUAUUCACAUGUCAGCAGCCUGACUUGAACCUUGUCUCCCUCCACAUCUGAAAGUCAGGGGGUCAAGCCCCUGGAAAUCUCAGUUGGAGUUUUUCAUUCUACAAACCACUGAAACAUACUCCGGGCUCUGAGACCUUGCCAUGUUCCAGACGGAACAGUUGACAUAUGUUUUAUCAACCACCAUAGUAACUCUAUCCCCUUCAAGGCACACUAAAGACUUCCAUUAGGUCUCCUUUCAUAAAGUUUACCACAGUCUGGGGACCAAAACCUUGCCACACAAAUCUUUAGGGGGCACUCAGUAUGCCAUAGCACCAUCUUAUGUUUGCGUGAGUGUUAGAGCUGUCCUCUGCUAAUGUAAUGAACAGAAGCACCUAAUCUGCCUUGCCAGCACAAACCUGGACUGUCAUGUGCCAGCUACUGAAACUAUAACUUGAGUCACCCCUAGGUGGCGCUGUCUGCCAGCCCACAGCUGGCACAGCUCUGUUCAAUAGCACGUGUGCACCUACUUCAAAAUGUCAUUGAAUUUUCCCCGUGUUGCUUUAUCAAAAACAAGUGGGGAGUGGGAGAAAGAGAAAGUGCUAAUAUUAGAGCCGAGCCAAACAACAUUUCCAUGUGUGCUGGCUACUUUUAUGUCAACUUGACACAUGGAGUCAUUCUGGAAAGAAUGAACCUCAAUUGAGAAAAUGCAGCAGUUGGCCUGUGGAGCAUUUUCUUGUAUGCAGAUUGGCUUUUGUAUCACUUCCUGUCUCCAGUUCCUGUCCUGAUUUCCCAGGAUGGUGCACUGCAAGCUGAAAUAAACUGUUCUCUCUAAGUUGCUUUUGGUUACAGUAUUUUAUCACAGAAAUAGAAACCAUAAGAUACUAUGUUUAGUAUAUCUGCUUCCAGGAGGAAAUUCAGUUGCCAAUCUUUAGCCUCAAGUUAGAUGCUCUUUGUCCUAAGCAGUUCUACAGGAGACUUAAUGGUUAAAAAGAAAAGAAACAACGUGAAAGAAAAUUUUACAGUAUGUAAAAUUUAAUAGUUGUAAAACACUUCUGAAAAAGAUAGGCUCUCUGACUAGAGACAUGGCCCAGUGGUUAAGAGCACUGGCUGCUGCUCUUACAGAAGUCCUGAGUUCAAUUGCCCGCAACCACAUGGUAGCUCACAACUAUCUGUAAUAGGAUCUUCCAUCUUCUGGUAUGUCUGAAGACAACUACAGUGUACUCAUGUGAAUAAAUAAAUAAAUAAAUAAAUAAUCGAUCUCAGAAAAAGAAAGAUAGGAUCUCAGAUAGCUCGUGUAGCCCAGGGUAGCCUCAGUCUAUCUUCAGUAGCUGAAGAUGACCUUGAACCUGCAAUUAUUCUACCUCCACCUUCCAAGUACUGAGAUUUAAGGAGGCAAGGGCCACUACCCCUGAUUUAUGCAGAUCUGGGGAUCAAACCCUAAGGCUUGAUGCAUGCUGGCCAAGCACUCUGUCCUGUCAACUGAGCUCCAUCUCCAGCCCUGGCUAUGAAAUACUUGAUCUCUUAGAUUCAGAACCAUGACCACUGGAAGGAUGUCUUGUGCAAAUUAGAAAAGUGUUUUUUUUUCCUUCUCUAUGUAAAUAUAACUGUACCAAGAUACGAGGGUAAGAUUCAGUCUCUGCUAAAUCUGUGGCCAGAUGCUGCUACACAGUGUGCAAUCUGCCCAACUGUGCAGAGCUGUCUAGGAUGAGCAGCCAUUUAUAACGCACAAGUCUCUUGCUCUAGUUUUGUACAGUUAAUUUUAUACACAUUUAUAAAAACAGAAGGCUGCCUACAAACAAUAUUUAUGGUUCAUUUUUUUAAAAAAUAGACUUGCCCCAUAUUUGGGAACUUCCUAGGGAAGUUGAGACUAUGAGACCAUGAAACUCUGAUUGGCAAGGCUAGGAUUCAUGUCCUCUGUCAGCAAUUCUCCUCAUAGAGUAUUUUAUUUCCUAGAAAUUUGUGUCCUCGUUUGGUUGUCUGGUUUCUGUUCCUGUGAUAAAACACUGAUGAAGAGCAACUCAGGGAGGAGAGGGUUUAUUUCACUUACAGGUCAUAGAUCAUCGUGAAGGGAAGUCAGGGCAGGAACUCAAGCAGGACCAAGGGCAGGAACUAACAGAGGAACUCUGCUUAUUGGCUUGAUUCCAUGGCUUAUGUCCAGUUAUCUUACACUUUCUGGGACCACUUUCCCAGAUGUGACACCACCCACAAUGGGCUGGCCACUCACACAUCAAUCAGCAAUCAAGAAGAUGCCCUUGCUUAUAUGCCAAUCCAUUGGAAGCAUUUCUUCAAUUGGACUUUUCGUGUAUUGACAAAAAGGUAAGCAGGACAUCUGUAUCAUGCCUUUUACAUAAUCGUUGACUCUCUGUGGACAUGGGUUAGGUGAAUCUUUUAUUUCUAGAGCACAUCACAAAGAUGUGUGAGAGUGUGCUGGUAGGAGAUGGCAGGAAUUACCAGAGUUCGUGUUGCAGGAGAAUGGACAUGCCUUCUCUGGGUACAUGGCCCUCUGUGUUCCACUUGAUCUUUGGGUAUAGAUGGCACCCAGUGAUUAAUUUGUUUCCAUUUCCCACACUCGAUGGGGCAAUCCAUCAGGGCUGUAGUUCUAGGAGCUUACUAGGCACCAGUCUUAAUACAGAAUCCAGUCUUGACAGGUUCACACUUGAGAGCUGGUGGGUUCCAGCCCUCUCUCCGAACAGCAUAUCACUGUACUUCCUUGGUCCCUUUCUAGUUGAGCCUAGGAAAGUAGGCCUAGCUUUGGUAAUUGCCCAAUGGAAGGAAGAAUCAGUUGUGUAGAACAGGGAGUAGAGUUUGUAGAAUAGGCUUAUUGCGGGAGGAAACAGCCCCUCCUUGGUGCAGCAAAUGGCCUCUUCUUAAUUGUGGAACAACUCCAGAGUACACUUAGGAAGCCCACAGGGCCCAUCUGAGCAUGCCACACAGCAGAGCUGUAUCCGCUGGUGUCCCUCAAACAGUAAUGGAUUAUAUGUUUCUCUAAUGUGGGCACUCUGUAGCCAUGAUGGAAGAGAAAUGACUGUCCCUAAACCCUUCCUGGCUUCCUAGAGGUCUUAGUUAUGGCUGCUUUCUACCCAGACCAUCACUACAAACUGAAGAUCUUUGAUCUUGAGAUUGCCCGGUUCACCUCCUUUUCCUCCCAUCUCAGAGAAGUUGGAAAAAUAGCUUCCUUUGGUCAGCGACUGAGAGUGUUGGCUCUUGCAGUGGAGGAGACACGUUUGCAAAGGACAGAGAAAACUCUCAUGGUUUGUGAUUAGCAGCUGUUUUAAACAAUGAAUGAAUUACCAUUCAACUCCAUGAAGCAGAGGGUCUGGUCUGCCUUUCCCAGAAGCUUUGUGGGCCUCCUUGGCUGAAUAUCAGCUCCUUUCAAGUUCUGUGCUUCCUUCCUGUGUGUGGUUUUGGGGUCUAUGCCUUCCACACACUCUAGAACUCAGGUGGCCACAGACCAAAAUUUGCCUUCUGACUAUGCCAAGUACUUCAUUUAAAUUUGAAAAGAGCAGUUCUAGAAUAUUUGUGUGAGGAGUGGGAGGUGGAGGGGGUAGCACCAGCUAUCAACGUAGGUAGUCUACAUCUUACUAAAUCUAUUUAUGAUGUUAUAUAUGAAUCUAAUGUAUUUAUAUUCUAUAUAUUUUAUUUUUUAAAGUUUUUUUUAUUAUUUCUAGUUGUGUGAGAGCGAAUGUUUGCAUGUUGGAACGAGCCUGAGAGUGUAGGUGUCUGCAGAGGUCAGACAUGUCAGAUCCUCUGAAACUGGAGUUAUAGACAAUUGUGAGCGACCUGACAUGGAUGCUAGGAACCAAACUAGGACCAUGCUAUGGACCAAACCAUGCUAGGACCUUUCCCAGGUCCUCUGGGAAAGUCACAAAUGGUCCUAACUGCUGACCCAUGUUUCUUGUCCUAUAUCUGAGUUUUGUCAACAAAGUCUCUCACUGAACUCACCAAUUCAGCUAGUCAUGGCCAGCAAUGGCUUCUUCUGUCUUUGCAACCCCUCUAUUUGGCAUUACAGGUGUAUAUCCCUGUGCCUGGUUUUUAUAUGAGUGCUGGAAAUACAAACUCAGGUUCUCCUGUUUGUAUAGCAAACAGUUUACCACCAGAGCUGUGUCCCCAGCAGCUGACUAUGAUUUUUCUCAUGCUUUAACAGGGGUGUGAUUUUGCCAGGGGCAGAUAUUUUCUGUAGUUGUGUGAUGUUUGGAAUUCUGGGGACUUUUCAGAGAGUAUAUAUGCUGAAAAGCCUGUCUGGCCUGGAAUGGUUUGAAGUAGGACUUAGCAUUGGACAUAGUGGUAGCUUUAAAAACUUGUCUCUGGCCUUUAAACUCCCUAACUAUGCUGAAUGCUGAAGCUGCUGGAAUUCUAAAAAAAAAAAAAACUCAAUAACUUUCUUGCUUACUUUGUGGUUAAAAAGUGCUAUCUUGGGUGAUUAACACCUGUAGCCUAGCAGCAGGGGAUUAAGCAAAGGAUUAAUUGCUAGAGCCUCUUUCUCUCUUGCCCAGAAUCCUUGCCUCUGUUUGUCAGGUGGGAGGGAGGUUUGGAGCAAUAAACUUUUAUUGUACCAGGAGAAGAGUCAUGCUUGCAGAAGGAAAAACUUUUACACAUGCAAGUGUGCACAAACUUAAAUACCUUCAUAUAUAAAUUCACACACACAUACUCAUACACCUUCAUGUAUCUAGUAGGGCUCAACUACUAUGUUAUCUCAUAAUUACAUACUUACAUACACACCCAUACUUACAUAUGCAUAUGCAACAAAAGCCCAACUGCCAGUGCAGAAAGAACUCAUCAUUCAUUCUGGUUAAAUAAGAAAAAAAAAAGAGCUCCAAUCUUUAUUGCAUAGAGAAACAAAAACACCAUUUUAUUUCUAAAUUAAAACCAAGUCUGUAAGAAACAAUGUUAGUCCUCUUUAGUAAGACUAAGCCUGUCUUGCUGUUAAGAAAAGACCUGUUCUGUCCAUGGUAAGGAGAAGCCUGCCUGCUCUCUCUGCAGCUUCUUUGUCCAUCCUUCUCUCUGCAUUCUGAAUGUUGCUCUCUUCUACUCCUGCCCUAAUGUCCUCCGUAUUUCUAAGGGAAAGCAAAAGGAAAAACCCAAUCAGACUAUAUACUCUCUAAAUUCCUAAGUUGCUCUCUUGAUUUCUAAGCUCUCUUUUAAUUUCUAAGUUGCUCUACUCUUCUGUCCUUCUCCUUCCUCCUCCUAAUCUGGCUCUCUCCUCCUGUAAUGCAAUGUCUGUAAUGUCAUUAUUCCUAGUUUUUUGUACCUUUUCUAGGAGAAUAGAUCACAUGAUUUUCCAAGCAUCCUUUUUUUUAUAGAAUAGUUCAAGCAUAAAUUCAAAUUAUAGAUUGAAAAACAAGUUUACAACAGAGAUGUUUAAACAUAAUUUCAUGAAGAGCAAUUAUCUGACUAAACAUUAAUUGUCUGUCAUUGGUUUCACAGGUUCAUGGAGAGUUAUAGAUUAUAAUUUUUGUGACUAAGCAUUGAAGCUUUUGUAUGGAUAAAUCCAGUCAAUAUUGUAUCUUCUGUCCUUGUAACUAUAAUAAAUCAUUAGUUCCCUUUUA